rnacentral:rRNA from 1 species
GUGCCAGCCGCCGCGGUAAUACGGAGGGGGUUAGCGUUGUUCGGAAUUACUGGGCGUAAAGCGCACGUAGGCGGAUCAGAAAGUUGGGGGUGAAAUCCCGGGGCUCAACCCCGGAACUGCCUCCAAAACUACUGGUCUAGAGUUCGAGAGAGGUGAGUGGAAUUCCGAGUGUAGAGGUGAAAUUCGUAGAUAUUCGGAGGAACACCAGUGGCGAAGGCGAUCAACUGGACCGGUACUGACGCUGAGGUACGAAAGCGUGGGGAGCAAACAGGAUUAGAUACCCGGGUAGUCC